AAAACAGCCUGGCAGGAGAGAUACCAUGAUCAUGAAGGUGGUUUUCCCGGGGCUGGACUUAUCCAUUGCAUUCCAGAUGUGCUGACGCCUGUGAUUUUCCCAAAUGUGGGAAACUGGACUGCAUAAUUUGUGGUAGUGGGGGAUUAUGUUCGUGUUCUCUCCUG
ensembl:snRNA U1 U1 spliceosomal RNA